rnacentral:sRNA from 1 species
UGUCCUGGCGAGAGCCCUAGGCUUCGGU